rnacentral:lncRNA from 1 species
CACAUGGUCUCUAUCCACUCUCCACACAGCACGCGGAACACAAUCAGGAAGGAGUGGAAGAAGUCGUUCAUGUGCCACCGUGGGAGCGUACAGUCAUCAUUGAUCUUGCAGACACAUUCUUUGUAGCUCUUACCAAAGAGCUGCAUGCCGACCACAGCAAAAAUGAAGACGAUGAUGGCCAACACCAAGUACCUGAGCUUCUUCCUGUUGCUUUUUAAGCUGUUCGAGCAUCUGCUGAAAUUCGGCCUCUUUUUGUUCUGCUUCUUCCAAGGUGGCCUGAUUCUGCUCCUCAUAGGCCAUGGCCACC